rnacentral:rRNA from 1 species
GUCCACGCCCUAAACGAUGCUCACUAGGUGUUGGGGAAGCGAUUCCUUGGUACCGUAGCUAACGCGUGAAGUGAGCCGCCUGGGGAGUACGGCCGCAAGGUUAAAACUCAAAGGAAUUGACGGGGACCCGCACAAGCGGUGGAUGAUGUGGAUUAAUUCGAUGCAACGCGAACAACCUUACCUACCCUUGACAUGUCGCGAAGCCUGGUGAGAGCCGGGGGUGCCCGCAAGGGAACGCGAACACAGGUGCUGCAUGGCUGUCGU